rnacentral:rRNA from 1 species
AGACUACCCGCUGAGUUUAA